rnacentral:rRNA from 1 species
CAGUCGUGCUGGCGCGAAAUCAACCCUCUCGUCGGGAGAUCACAGUGUUGUGACGAGCCUCAAAACCGCCACAGCGUGUCGACCUCACGAUGAGGGGGAGCACUUUCGGUCCGCUGGUUAACAUCAAUUUCGAACGUCAAUAAAAAGGCUAGGAGGGAUGGUGCUCC